GGGCAGGUCUGCGCGGCGGGACGCCGUGAACCAUGUCAGGCGGGGAACCGAGCAGCAUUAAGCGGCAGUUCCCGGGCGAUGCAGGGCGCCUGUCCGUU
rfam:Clostridium sp. CAG:1013 genomic scaffold, scf112